UUCGAGAAUAUUUUAAAUCCUUUGGGACAAAUUGAACUCCAGAUAUUUUCUUCUCUCUCCUCCCUUCUCCUACCAAAUCACUGUAUGUGUACAUUGAUCUAGAAAAGGUACAUUACAUUCCUUGCUGUUCCGUCUAAUAUACUCAACUAUCUCUUUCCGCCCAUGGCAUUGACGACCACAGUUCUUUUCGCGCCGAGGAUCCAUCAAAAACAGUCUGUGUACAUCUUAUAACUCUCCUCAAAAUCCACUUGUGUGAUUACACCGGUGAGUUGGUUUGUAAUUAUGGCGGAGAAGAACUAGACGAUUAGCUGAAAAUGUACUUCAAAUAGCUCUAUAAUAAUUUGUUAGAUCUUUGGUGCUGAGUCCAGAAAGUUCUUCACCCAGAAGCUUCCUGUGGUUCAUAAAAAAGGAAUCAAUCCCUCUCAUAUCCAUGUCAAAGAGAUAUAUUCAACCAGAAGUUCCCUUGGAAUUGACAAAUAUGGUGUAAACUAAGUAAACCCCAGUUUAGGGCAUUGUCCAAUGCCAGGUGUUCCCUUGGCAUUUCCAGUCCACUCUUGGCCCCAAAGGAAGAACAAUGAACUAGGGGAAGGUUAGCUAAGAUUUGCUGGGGCUUAGGAUGGUUCCAAAAAGAGCAGAUGCUUAAGAUGAGUGCUUCUAUCAUGACAUACAUGUAUCCUGUGCACUUGAGACUUUCUGCAAGACCGCCAUGAGCCAUGACAAAGAUGGAUGAACUCGAUAUGAAAGAAUGAAAAGAAUCUGAUAGCAUAAUACAUGAGGAGUUUGGGCCAAGAAUAACCUCGAUCAUUUUGAGAACUUUCCUGACCAUCCUUAAAUUCCAAUGUAAGAAUUCGACUAGGCUUGUCGGAAAACCUGCUCAAAAAUUCCAGGAAGGAUUCCUCGGUGGGGUGGGGUGGGGUGGGGUGGGAGAAGACUAGGCCAAAACCCCAUGUAUGCAUCACUGGUUGCAGAGCAACCAAGACAAAACAGAAUGUUUACACAACGUGUUGCACCUGCAUUUUACCCAGCAUGAAAGGACCUUUAGCCCCUGCACUUGCUGAUGCAAAUAUCACAUUGUAUGAGUAGCAUCACUUGUUUGCACUUUGGAACUUGCAAGUCUCAAUCUUAAUGAGGACUUUAGGCCAUUAAGUGCACUUGUUUGUAUUAAGAUUUAACUACUACUUACUCUGGAUAGGUUAUAAUAAUUAUGUGCAUAAUUUUCACCUCUUUCCA